UACGUAGGUGGCAAGCGUUGUCCGGAUUUACUGGGUGUAAAGGGCGUGUAGGCGGGUAUACAAGUCAGAUGUGAAAUACCGGGGCUCAACUCCGGGGCUGCAUUUGAAACUGUAUGUCUUGAGUGCCGGAGAGGAAAGCGGAAUUCCUAGUGUAGCGGUGAAAUGCGUAGAUAUUAGGAGGAACACCAGUGGCGAAGGCGGCUUUCUGGACGGUAACUGACGCUGAGGCGCGAAAGCGUGGGGAGCAAACAGG
rnacentral:rRNA from 1 species